rnacentral:rRNA from 1 species
CCUUCAUGAAGCCGGAAUUGCUAGUAAUGGCAGGUCAGCAUACUGCCGUGAAUACGUUCCCGGGCCUUGUACACACCGCCCGUCACACCAUGAGAGUCGGGAACACCCGAAGUCCGUAGCCUGACCGCAAGGGGGGCGCGGCCGAAGGUGGGUUCGAUAAUUGGGGUGAAGUCGUAACAAGGUAUC